UGGUAGGUUGUUGUUUGUCAUAUUUGUUUUGUAUUUAUUGAUUAUGUCAUAAUGUUUUACAUUUUGUUAUGCCUCUUAUAUAUCUGACUGAGUGAUAUGAUUUUGCUCAUUGUUGAAGGCUGCAGUUUCUUAUUUCUACAUCAUUUGAUCUCAAGUGGAGUUGUUGCACUGGCAAUCAUGCCACAUCUUCUAAUUUCUAUAUUGGCAUAGUUUUCAAGACUUAUUACAUGUAUGUGUUGAGUUUCCAGCCUUCUACAGUGUU
rnacentral:lncRNA from 1 species